rnacentral:rRNA from 1 species
CGGCGGACGGGUGAGUAACGCGUGGAUAACCUGCCUCACACAGGGGGAUAACAGUUAGAAAUGACUGCUAAUACCGCAUAAGACCACAGCACCGCAUGGUGCGGGGGUAAAAACUCCGGUGGUAUGAGAUGGACCCGCGUCUGAUUAGCUGGUUGGUAAGGUAACGGCUUACCAAGGCGACGAUCAGUAGCCGACCUGAGAGGGUGACCGGCCACAUUGGGACUGAGACACGGCCCAA